AUCGCUUCUCUGCCUUUUGGCUAAGAUCAAGUGUUGUAUUUGUUCUUAUCAGUUUAAUAUCUGACACAUCGCCUAUCUGGAGACCAUAUAACGUAUCUAUCUAUCUAUCUAUCUAUC
rnacentral:snRNA from 1 species